UACGUAGGGUGCGAGCGUUAAUCGGGAUUACUGGGCGUAAAGCGUGCGCAGGCGGUUGUGCAAGACAGAUGUGAAAUCCCCGGGCUCAACCUGGGAAUUGCAUUUGUGACUGCACGGCUAGAGUGUGUCAGAGGGGGGUAGAAUUCCACGUGUAGCAGUGAAAUGCGUAGAGAUGUGGAGGAAUACCGAUGGCGAAGGCAGCCCCCUGGGAUAACACUGACGCUCAUGCACGAAAGCGUGGGGAGCAAACAGG
rnacentral:rRNA from 1 species